ACGAACGCUGGCGGCGUGCCUAAUACAUGCAAGUAGAACGCUGAAGAGAGGAGCUUGCUCUUCUUGGAUGAGUUGCGAACGGGUGAGUAACGCGUAGGUAACCUGCCUUGUAGCGGGGGAUAACUAUUGGAAACGAUAGCUAAUACCGCAUAACAAUGGAUGACACAUGUCAUUUAUUUGAAAGGGGCAAUUGUUCCACUACAAGAUGGACCUGCGUUGUAUUAGCUAGUAGGUGAGGUAAUGGCUCACCUAGGCGACGAUACAUAGCCGACCUGAGAGGGUGAUCGGCCACACUGGGACUGAGACACGGCCCAGACUCCUACGGGAGGCAGCAGUAGGGAAUCUUCGGCAAUAGGGGCAACCCUGACCGAGCAACGCCGCGUGAGUGAAGAAGGUUUUCGGAUCGUAAAGCUCUGUUGUAAGUCAAGAACGGGUGUGAGAGUGGAAAGUUCACACUGUGACGGUAGCUUACCAGAAAGGGACGGCUAACUACGUG
rnacentral:rRNA from 1 species